UACGUAGGUCCCGAGCGUUAUCCGGAUUUAUUGGGCGUAAAGCGAGCGCAGGUGGUUUGUUAAGUCUGGUGUAAAAGGCAGUGGCUCAACCAUUGUAUGCAUUGGAAACUGGUAGACUUGAGUGCAGGAGAGGAGAGUGGAAUUCCAUGUGUAGCGGUGAAAUGCGUAGAUAUAUGGAGGAACACCGGUGGCGAAAGCGGCUCUCUGGCCUGUAACUGACACUGAGGCUCGAAAGCGUGGGGAGCAAACAGG
rnacentral:rRNA from 1 species